GCUGUUGUUGUUUCACAGUUAGCCCUGUAUGUUUUAAGGUUUGAUCCCAAUUCCUGGGCCUAGGUUUGGUUUGGUUUGUUUGUGUGUGUUUGUGUGUGUUUUCCUCCUCACUUUCCUGUUACCUCAGCAUCAAAUCUAUAACCAUCACAUGGUCAACUAAUUCUCUUGUAAACUUUCCUUUAUCUCUCAUUGCUUAUAUACCAUGAUACCUGUAAUGAACAUUACAGUGGAGUCUGUGUGGCUG
rnacentral:lncRNA from 1 species